rnacentral:sRNA from 1 species
GUUUAAAGGGUCCUGUUGAACCAUGUUUUUUAGAAUGUCUAUUAAGUGCGGUAAGAACAUAAAUUUUGGGUCUCGAGGAGUUUGAUUUGGCGUAUGUGAUCGCAUUUGAUCUCUUGGUCAGGCUUUGCCCGACUUAUAUAGUUUGUAGGUGGGUUCACAGCUCCAAACUCUUCAUAUCCAUAUCUUUCAGUUUAGGUACCGAUUCUGUCAUGUAUGUCCAGGAAAGGAAUCCAAGAGAUAUUUUGCACAAUUGGGUAGCAGAGAAAGUGCUUCAAUUCUGAUUUCGGACAUGAUCUGUUCAUCUAAAGGUACACAGACAUAUAAACAUAUGGUAACAGCACACAACACAAUCCGCUGAUUACAGACUGUGAGUUUCAUAACCUUAAAAAAAAUGUAAUGGUAUUUGUCUGUAUAUAUUUUGACUUUCUCAUGUUUAAACAUACUAUACAAAGAUUAAACCAAAAGUUUUAUAGAUUCAAAGCUAGUUAAGGUAAAGAGGAAACCUAAAAAAAAGAGUUAGUUUUGUGAUAAGUUUUCCUAUUCCUGGCUGAUUAAACCCUCAACAAUUGUGGGCUCAGUAGCAGGAGCUGACCGCAAUAGAUAAGUUCGCUUUAGGAUUUUCUACAUGACCUGACAUUUUACAAUAGAUAAAUCAUGGGGAAAAUUACUCCAUAGACACCAAAAUGUGAAGGACUUUGCUCUCUUCAUUGAAUGAACCAAGACUAACAAAAGUCUAUUGAAUAGUCCAAGUUAACAGCAACUGCUUACGUGCUCAUAAAUUAUCUUCAGAUAUAGGUCAAUAGGAAAAUCAAAUACAAUUUCAACUGAAAAUGCAAGUAUUAGCAAACCUAAACUCCAAAUUACAAACUAUUAACAAAUAAACAUACCAAUAUUUCAAAUUUCAAUCCGCAUCAACAAUCGACACCACAAUACAAUAAUUUCAAAACGUCAGAUACAAUUUCCAUGUUGGCACGAAGUGACAAUGGAGUUAGUCAUAUUAAUAUUUUGGUUUAAUCAUAGUCUCUAUUUCUCGUAACUUUUUAUUCACAUUUUUUUGUCUCAGG